rnacentral:rRNA from 1 species
AACGAACGCUGGCGGCAUGCCUAACGCAUGCAAGUCGAACGAGACCUUCGGGUCUAGUGGCGCACGGGUGCGUAACGCGUGGGAACCUGCCCUUAGGUUCGGAAUAACUCCCCGAAAGGGGUGCUAAUACCGGAUAAUGUCUUCGGACCAAAGAUUUAUCGCCUUUGGAUGGGCCCGCGUUGGAUUAGCUAGUUGGUAGGGUAAAAGCCUACCAAGGCGACGAUCCAUAGCUGGUCUGAGAGGAUGAUCAGCCACACUGGGACUGAGACACGGCCCAGACUCCUACGGGAGGCAGCAGUGGGGAAUAUUGGACAAUGGGCGAAAGCCUGAUCCAGCAAUGCCGCGUGAGUGAUGAAGGCCUUAGGGUUGUAAAGCCCUUUUACCCGGGAUGAUAAUGACAGUACCGGGAGAAUAAGCUCCGGCUAACUCCGUG